GUUGUCAUUCGCUGAAAAAGAUUCCGGUGAGUGUUUCAUUGGAGAGAGUGUUCUAAUUCUUUUAGGAGUGAUGGAUUUUUGCGGCGUGCACGAGUGCUUUUUAGAUGAACCUGGUGAUGAACUAUGAUGCAUUUUGGCUGGUGGAGGCUUCGGGCAUAUCUUAUAUUGAGGACUAUUUUGUGAUUUCCACCAUGUUUUGGUUUAUUGAGCCAUAGCCUUGACUUUUUUUUUUACCAUGAUAGUGACUGAUCGAAAAGGAAAAGAAAUCGUUUACCAGCUUGAAAACUAAAUAUAUUGAGCCAUUUUUUACUAUGAAUGAAAUCAAAAGCACAUGUUUUAUAAGAC
rnacentral:lncRNA from 1 species